UACAGAGGGUGCGAGCGUUGUCCGGAAUCACUGGGCGUAAAGGGCGCGUAGGUGGCGCUCCAAGUCCGUUGUGAAAGCUCGAUGCUCAACAUCGAGUCGGCCACGGAGACUGGAGGGCUCGAGCACUGUAGGGGCAGAUGGAAUUCCGGGUGUAGCGGUGGAAUGCGUAGAGAUCCGGAAGAACACCGGUGGCGAAGGCGGUCUGCUGGGCAGUUGCUGACACUGAGGCGCGACAGCGUGGGGAGCAAACAGG
rnacentral:rRNA from 1 species